AUUGAACGCUGGCGGCAGGCCUAACACAUGCAAGUCGAACGAGUGGCGGACGGGUGAGUAAUGUCUGGGAAACUGCCUGUUGGAGGGGGAUAACUCCUGGAAACGGUAGCUAAAACCGCAUACAUUCGGAUGUGCCCGGAUGGGAUUAGCUAGUAGGUGGGGUAAAGGCUCACCUAGGCGACGAUCCCUAGCUGGUCUGAGAGGAGGACCAGCCACACUGGAACUGAGAAACGGUCCAGACUCCUACGGGAGGCAGCAUUGGGGAAUAUUGCACAAUGGGCGAAAGCCUGAUGCAGCCAUGCCGCGUGUAUGAAGAAGGCCUUCGGGUUGUAAAGUACUUUCAGCGGGGAGGCGUUACCCGCAGAAGAAGCACCGGCUAACUCCGUGCCAGCAGCCGCGGUAAUUC
rnacentral:rRNA from 1 species